GACAGAGGCCCCAAGCGUUAGGCGGAAUCACUGGGCUUAAAGCGUGUGUAGGCGGAUCGUUAAGUGUCUUGUGAAAUCCCACGGCUCACCCGUGGAACUGCUGGGCAUACUGGCGAUCUUGGGCCAACUAGGGGCAGCCGGAACAAGCGGUGGAGCGGUGAAAUGCGUAGAUAUCGCUUGGAACGCCGAAGGUGAAAACAGGCUGCUGGGGUUGUGCCGACGCUGAGACGCGAAAGCCAGGGGAGCAAACGGG
rnacentral:rRNA from 1 species